ACACACACACACACACCACUCUGGCCAUGCAUGGGGGAGAGAGAAUCACAGGGAGAUCUUCACAACUUUAAACUCAUCUUUUGUAAACCAUAUAAGUAUUGUAUGGACAUCUUAGGAACUACUUUGUCGACCAGCUGGAAAAACACAGGAUGAAAGAAUGUAAUGCUGUUACAGACACACAGACACACACACACAGGCUCACACAUGCUCACACGGAUGCUGCUGUUGAGAGGGAGAGAGGUUUUUCACAUCUUGAUGAAAAUGAACUCGUGUAAGAUUUUUCUCUGGGCGAAGGAAUGUUUCAGCCAUCUCACACCCCGACUGUCACAGGGCCGAAGGACUGUGAGAGAAUCAUCAGCACUCAAGUAAGCCGCUUUUAUUUUACAGAUCCUAUUGUGAUACGGGCUAUAUUAGAAAAUUAUCCAUCAUCACGCUACUCAGAUCGAUCUCGGGGGUUUUAGGUAAGGAUAAAGCGUCCAUACUCAUGUAACUCAUGUUUCCCUCUGUGAAUUCUGUAGAACAGAGACCACCCAUUUUAUAGACGACUUUUCUGGUA